rnacentral:lncRNA from 1 species
CGGGCGUUCAUGUUAUCUUUACAAUCCUUGUCUUUUGAGAGACGAACUUUGACACUGAAAUAUUAUCUAGGACUUAAUUCUGAAUAAUUCCAUUUAAUUUGAUUAGUAUAUUUUAAAACUUCCUCAAUAUUUUUUAAACACAGGUAUCAGCCAGACAAGCAGUGUUACACACCUGUAGUCCUAGCUACUUGAGAGGCUGAGGCAGGAGGAUCACUUGAGCCUAUGAAUUCCAGGCCAGCUUUGGGUGGAGACCUGUGCCCCAAAAGAUGCAAAUAAUAAAUCGAUAAAUGCAUUUAAAAAUCGAUUAAACACAAGAUUACCAUAUAUACUAGUAACUAAGAAUAGGAUCACCAAGGAAAUGAGCUCAUUUCUCCACAACUGACCAUUUUACUGGAAGGGCCCAGAUUGGGGGAAGGGGAGAUAAGGAAUAAAGAUUCAGAAAAAGAAAAGCAAAAAAAUGUAGUAUAAUGGGAACCAAGAAAACAAAACUACAAGGAACUUUUACAAAGUUCUCAGAAUGCUGAGAGAGAGAAAAAAAAAAAAAAUCACAGUAAAAGAGCUGGGCCUAGUUCAGAAGAGUGACUAUGUAAACUGCCUGAAGUUUGGUAAACACUUAAGAGAAUUCACUGCUUACAAGGUGUCACUAUAGGAAUACAUAUUUCAAACUGUCAUACUAACAUGAUAAAGACGUACCAGAAUCCAACAUCACCUUCCUGGCACUCUACUGUAAUGAUGUUUGUAAUGAUGCAAAUCUAUCGUGAAUGACAUUCAACAACGCAGCCUGAACAGAUCAGCAUCAAGGCAAAAUCUGCUGACGUCGCAAAGCCGCACAGCAAGCCUACAACAGGGACC